rnacentral:lncRNA from 1 species
AAAGAAGUUGGGACAGAUUGACUGCACUGUCCAGAGAGGAGAGAUAAAGGUUUGUGGCAUGCUAGAGAUCCUGGAAAGAUUCGCAGCUGAACUCGUGUGAUGCUGGGAAGGACCAUCACAUUCAUUCUACCAAGGCUGAGCUCAGUUGUAAUUCUCUGCACUGCUACUGUAUCUUUCACUCUUCAACAUGUGGAAUAAGGGUCUGCGGAAUUAAACCGGGACAGGCUCCUGAAAGUGGAAUUCCAGAGAAGGCACGUGCUGUGAUUUCUUGAAUAAGCCAACGACAUCCUCUGGAUCUUUGUGGAUUUUUAUUACUCAACUGAAAGAGCAAGCAGUGUUGCUAGGUUGCUCUGAAAGCUAGAGAUGGCUCUGCCUUCUCCAAAAUCAAUAGCAGGAGAUCUGACACAAAGAGAAGAACUCAUGCUC